UACGGAGGGUGCAAGCGUUAUCCGGAUUCACUGGGUUUAAAGCGUGUGUAGGCGGAUUGGUAAGUACCUUGUGAAAUCCCACGGCUCAACCGUGGAGCUGCUUGGUAUACUGCUUAUCUUGGGCCACUUAGGGGCUACCGGAACAAACGGUGGAGCGGUGAAAUGCGUAGAUAUCGUUUGGAACGCCAAUGGUGAAAACAGGUAGCUGGGAGUGUGCCGACGCUGAGACACGAAAGCCAGGGGAGCGAACAGG
rnacentral:rRNA from 1 species